UACGAAGGGGGCGAGCGUUGUUCGGAUUUACUGGGCGUAAAGGGCGCGCAGGCGGCUAUUUUUGUCAGGCGUGAAAGCCCCGGGCUCAACCUGGGAACUGCGCUUGAAACGGGAUGGCUAGAGAUCGGGAGAGGAGAGUGGAAUUCCCAGUGUAGAGGUGAAAUUCGUAGAUAUUGGGAAGAACACCGGUGGCGAAGGCGGCCUGCUGGGCAGUGGCUGACGCUGAGGCGCGACAGCGUGGGGAGCAAACAGG
rnacentral:rRNA from 1 species